CUAAGUCAAUUACUCUUCUAUUUACAAGUGUGGAGUGCCAAUGUGUGCAAGCAUGCUCUUAUAUUGAGACAAGACAAAAACUACUACUCCCACAGAAUCCCCAUCAAGAAUCAUAAAAGUUUAAAACUAACACCCCGUCACUCAAGUCCUACUAAAAGCCAAGGUCCCAAAGAAUGUUCACACCCUUCUAUUUUAUUCACUAUAUAAAAUUUUUUUUUCUUUUUAUUGGUGAUUAAUUGCUCGGUCUAAGGUCAGAGCGCUUCGCAGUGUAAAUGCGUUACGAACACCACAAGACUUCACACACCAAUCAUUCACUCUAUUCUAGUGGUUUAUUUAACCGUGCAAUGGUUGAGAUCCCUAAAGAUUUAUGCACUAGUACCCAUGUAGCGAGCGUUGGGUCAACAAUCCCAAACCACGAAGGGCUUUAGGUUGUUAGGCACAAAGUCCCCUCAGACUUAAUUACUCGAGUACUAAUGAGCUCAACCUAGUUAAUUCUACCACUUAUUU
rnacentral:lncRNA from 1 species